rnacentral:rRNA from 1 species
UACGUAGGGUGCGAGCGUUGUCCGGAAUUAUUGGGCGUAAAGGGCUCGUAGGCGGUUUGUCGCGUCGGGAGUGAAAACACCGGGCUUAACUCGGUGCUUGCUUUCGAUACGGGCAGACUAGAGGCAUGCAGGGGAGAACGGAAUUCCUGGUGUAGCGGUGAAAUGCGCAGAUAUCAGGAGGAACACCGGUGGCGAAGGCGGGUCUCUGGACAACACCUGACGCUGAGGCACGAAAGCCAGGGGAGCAAACGGG